rnacentral:rRNA from 1 species
GAAGAACGCUAGCUACAGGCUUAACACAUGCAAGUCGAGGGGAAACGAUAUUGGAAGCUUGCUUCCGAUAGGCGUCGACCGGCGCACGGGUGAGUAGCGCGUAUCCAACCUGCCCAUCACUUGGGGAUAACCUUGCGAAAGUAAGACUAAUACCCAAUGAUAUCUCUAGAAGACAUCUGAAAGGGAUUAAAGAGUUAUCGGUGAUGGAUGGGGAUGCGUCUGAUUAGCUUGUUGGCGGGGUAACGGCCCACCAAGGCGACGAUCAGUAGGGGUUCUGAGAGGAAGGUCCCCCACAUUGGAACUGAGACACGGUCCAAACUCCUACGGGAGGCAGCAGUGAGGAAUAUUGGUCAAUGGACGAGAGUCUGAACCAGCCAAGUAGCGUGCAGGCUGACGGCCCUAUGGGUUGUAAACUGCUUUUAUAAGGGAAUAAAGUGAGCCUCGUGAGGCUUUUUGCAUGUACCUUAUGAAUAAGGACCGGCUAAUUCCGUGCCAGCAGCCGCCGUAA